GAUUUGUGAUUUUUUUUUUGUUUGAAAAAUUUAAUAUUUGAAAUUAAAUUUUAGUAAUUUUUUUUCCAAAAAUUUUAAUUUUUGGAUUUUUUGUCAAAGUUAUUCCAAAAACCAAACCCUCCGCUAAUAUAACACUUUUAGGGCAUCAAAUGGGCUGGCGUCAACCAUGCUGACGUCAUGUGAAAACGUACAUACUAUACAAGUCCAAAAGUUGAGAAGAAUGACACAAUGAGACAAAGAAUAAUGUUAAUUUCCCCUCUCCUUUUUCCGAGGAAAGGUUGUGAGAUCUAGCAGGAAAACUGCCCUCUAUCGGGAGAAAUAGAGACUAUAUUAUAUGUAAACCUCAAUAUACAUUUCGACAUUUAAAAACAACCAAAAUAUGAUGUUGAAUAUACAUUAUACAUACUUAUAAUUAUAAUUAUUCAAGAACAUAAACGUCACGUAUGCUUCUCCACCUCUUAAAACGAUGAAGGUUAUUCAUUUUGUUCUUACAUAAUAACGUUUUGAGCAAACAAGUUGAAAGGAGUGCAAAAUUGUAUUCAGUGUUUCUCAAUUGAGAAAACAAUUAUUAUGGAUGUAUUCUAGUUUUGUAAAUAUCAUUAUUGAACUGAGUUACUCAUUCAUUAUUUUUAUAGAAUAUAAAUUGCUUCCCCCCCCCCUAAUUUCAAGUGUGUACAUUUAAAUACAUAUAAUUGAAUUAAA
rnacentral:lncRNA from 1 species